GCCCGGAUGGUGGAAUCGGUAGACACAAGGGAUUUAAAAUCCCUCGGCGUUCGCGCUGUGUGGGUUCAAGUCCCACUCCGGGCACCA
rnacentral:tRNA from 3 species